UACAGAGGGUGCGAGCGUUAAUCGGAAUUACUGGGCGUAAAGCGCGCGUAGGCGGCUUUGCAAGUCGGGUGUGAAAUCCCCAGGCUUAACCUGGGAACUGCAUUCGAGACUGCAUUGCUAGAGUAUGGGAGAGGGAAGUGGAAUUCCGGUGUAGCGGUGAAAUGCGUAGAUAUCAGGAAGAACACCCGUGGCGAAGGCGGCUCUCUGGUACGUGACUGACGCUGAGACGCGAAAGCGUGGGGAGCAAACAGG
rnacentral:rRNA from 1 species